CUUUGGGCACAGCAGAUGGGCUGGCACACUCCACCUGUGUGCUGUGGCCAUGGGGAAGAUAAGUCAAGGUCAGAAGUGUGGUCACAGGGGAAAUUUGACCUGCUUGGCAUUGCUGACUUCUGGUGAAGACGCUUGUUUGCUUUUUCCCCUUGCUGUAGCUCCCACCAUCAGCACCUUGAGUCCCACCUGAAGCCAAAUGCUGGUGAUUAUAGGAUGGCACACUGUGUGUGUGAGAGAGAAUUAUUUGGACCAUAGUGGUAUACUGACACGUAAGUUAUGUGUGUGG
rnacentral:lncRNA from 1 species